GAUGAACGCUGGCGGCGUGCUUAACACAUGCAAGUCGAACGGAAAGGCCCUGCUCUUGUGGGGUGCUCGUGUGGCGCACGGGUGAGUAACACGUGUGUAUCCCGCCCUUGUCUUUGGGAUAAAUUCUCGAAACUGGGGCUAUUACCGGAUAGGAGAUCUUGCUGCACGGUGGGCGUUGGUAAGUUUCGGCGGUUGUGGCUAGUUUCGCGGCUUCUCCGCUAGUUGGUGGAGUAGUGGCUUACCAAGCCUGUGACGGGUAGGCGGCCUGGGAGGUUGACCGGCGACAUGGGUACUGAGGGACGGCCCAGACUCGAACGGGAGGCAGCAGUGGAGAGUAUGACACAAUGGGCGGAAGCCUGAGGCAGCAGCGCCGCGUGCGGGAUAACGGGCUUCGAGUUGUAAACCACUGUCGCCGGUGACGAGGCGUGAGUGACGGUAAUGGGUAAAGAAGCACCGGCUAACUACGUG
rnacentral:rRNA from 1 species